AGGGGUGGCAAUUUGGAUCCGGUUCCAUGGAUCCGAUUAGAUCCGGUUCGGUUCAUAAGGAUCCGGUUUAGAUUAAGUUUAGUUGAAACAAAUCGGAUCGGAUCCAGUUGAUAUUUUUUUAAAACUGGAUCCAUGUGGAUCCACUUUAAAUCCAUUAAAAGUUUAACCACAAAAUAAAGUGGGUCAUAUUGGAUCCAAUCAAAAUCCAAUUAAAUACCAACACAAUUUUCUCACAAAAAAAAAGUCAAAAUAUUAUUUUAAUUAAAAAUUUAAUUGUAAAACAGUGUGUGUGUGUGUGUGUAUGUGAAUGUCUUUGUGUGUGUAAACAGUGUGUGUGUGUGUGUGUGUGUGUGUGUGUGUGUUUAUGUGAGUGUGUGUGUGUGUAAACCGAGAGAGUGUGUGUGUGUGUGUGUUUAUACGAGUGUGUGUGUAUGUGAGUGUGUGUGUGUGUGUAAACCGAGAGAGUGUGUGUUGUGUGUGUUUAUACGAGAGUGUGUGUGUAUGUGAGUGUGUGUGUGUGUGUAAA
rnacentral:lncRNA from 1 species